GACAGAGGGUGCAAACGUUGUUCGGAAUUACUGGGCGUAAAGCGAGUGUAGGCGGUUUGGUAAGUCGGAUGUGAAAGCCCCGGGCUCAACCCGGGAAGUGCACUCGAUACUGCCAAGCUAGAGUAUCGGAGAGGUCGGUGGAAUUCUCGGUGUAGAGGUGAAAUUCGUAGAUAUCGAGAGGAACACCGGUGGCGAAGGCGGCCAACUGGACGAAUACUGACGCUGAGACUCGAAAGCGUGGGGAGCAAACAGG
rnacentral:rRNA from 1 species